UACGUAGGGUGCGAGCGUUGUCCGGAAUUAUUGGGCGUAAAGGGCUCGUAGGCGGUUUGUCGCGUCGGGAGUGAAAACACUGGGCUUAACCGAGUGCUUGCUUUCGAUACGGGCAGACUAGAGGUAUGCAGGGGAGAACGGAAUUCCUGGUGUAGCGGUGAAAUGCGCAGAUAUCAGGAGGAACACCGGUGGCGAAGGCGGUUCUCUGGGCAUUACCUGACGCUGAGGAGCGAAAGUGUGGGGAGCGAACAGG
rnacentral:rRNA from 1 species